rnacentral:rRNA from 1 species
AUUGAACGCUGGGGGCAGGCCUAACACAUGCAAGUCGAACGAGUGGCGGAAGGGUGAGUAAUGUCUGGGAAACUGCACGAUGGAGGGGGAUAACUACUGGAAACGGUAGCUAAUACCGCAUACCAUCGGAUGUGCGCAGAUGGGAUGAGCUAGUAGGUGGGGUAACGGUUCACCUAGGCGACGAUCCCUAGCUGGUCUGAGAGGAUGACCAGCCACACUGCAGUUGAGACACGGUCAAAACUCCUACGGGAGGCAGCAGUGGGGAAUAUUGCACAAAGGCCGCAAGCCUGAUACAGCCAUGCCUCUUGUAUGAAGAAGGCCUUCGGGUUGUAAAAAACUUUCAGCGAGGAGGCGUUACUCGCAGAAGAAGCCCCGGCUAACUCCGUGCCAGCCGCCGCGGUAAUUC